AUUGAUUUUAGGUUAUAGCUCUCAUUCUCCCACUUCACCUCUGAACAUUACUGUAUUAACACAGGAAACUUUUGGGGGACACUUCAUAUCCAAACCAUGACAUACAAUGAUGAUGUUAAAAGUUGAGUCAGAAGCUUUGCCUAGGAACUUCCAGCGGCGUUCCUCAUACAGGGAAGAGUAAAGACCUAACGAUAGCCUCCAAAGCCCUGUGUGACGGGAUCUCUCUAGCCGUUGGGGUUCUCUUUUAUGUCACUCGUGUCCUCACUCAUUCCACCUCAGCUAUGCUGAUCGAUUGCCUGCUUCUCAAACUUGCCAGGAACAUUCCUAACUUAGGAUCUAUUCACUUCCUCUUUUCCUUAAAUGCCUUUUCCCCAGAUUUGGUUCUCUUGUUCAUUUCCUUCAGAUCUUUCCACCAUGUCAUCUCACCAUGUCCUUCUUUGGCUGCUGUACUCAAAAUUGGACCCUCUCUAAACUCUUUCUAACUCUUCUUUCCUGGUUGAAUUUUUUUCCUGUGAGAACUUAUUUAAAACACAUUAUAAUGUGUACUUAUUUAUCUUCCUUAACUUCCUGAAGUACAAACUCCAUGAGGGCAGGAAUUCUCUUCCCUUGGAUUCUUUCCUAGUCCCCCCAAGGCCCACAGCUAUGCUUGAUACAUGGAGCUGCUUAAUCAUUGUUACUAAAUGAACGAAAGAACGAUAUUCUCCACCUCACUCCCAUGGCACCCUGCUUCAACCUUUUCCUCACUUCUAUCUAAUUUUAGCAUAGAACCCAUAGAAUGUUCAAAUCAGUUUUGUUUUGCUGUAACCAAAAUACCUGACAAGAACAACUUCAGGAGGAAUAGUAUAUAUUGGUUCAUGAUUCUAGAGGUUAAUGCAUAAUCAGCUGAGUUCAUUGCUCUGGGCCCCAGAUGAGGCAGAAGAGCAGGGUGGAAGAGAUGGGGGAGGAGGAUGGCUCCAUUGAUGGCAGCCAGGAGACUCUGGCAGAAGCAUAAAAGAAAGGACCAACACUGGACUAAAUCCCCGGGAUUGG
rnacentral:lncRNA from 1 species